AAGUCGUCUAUGGCCACUGGCAGCGUGAAGAAGCCCCAAAGGUUCAGGCCGGGAACUGUGGCGCUGAGGACUAGACCGAGAUGGAGGCGAUGCCGGAAAAGAUGAGAGAUGGCUGGAAAAGAGACUGUUGCGUGCAUUUGGUGAGACGAGGACGAAGACGACGCUGAGGGAUGAAGGUGACGCAGAGUGACAACGCUAAUAGACGUCACCGAAAAAUCAAGAAGGCCACCGAGAGUUGCAGCAACAAGGUCCACGAGACGGCUGAGAACAAAACGAAAGUAAGCCGUGAUCAGGUUCAGAUGAGCCAAGCGGAAACUGGAGAUGAGCCGAGCGGAAAUUGGAGACAAGCUGAGCAGAAACUGGAGCAGAGCAUACGCCGGAGCUACAACUGAUACUAGCUGAGCGGAAGAAGGCCAACUGCAGCGGCAAAGAAGGAGAAAAGAAAAGAAAAAAAUAAGUUCAAAUUGGAAGCUUGAAGAUUGCUGACCCACUUCUUUAUUUUUCCUUUUUCUUCUUUUUUAUUUUCAUUUUCAUUUCCCAUGUAAAAUUCAUUUCUCUGUAUCUUUUUCAUUUUAUGAAAUAAAAUUUUUACUAAA